rnacentral:tRNA from 1 species
GGUCCUUUGGCAGAGAUGGUAAUGCACUGGUGUGAAGUACCAGACAUCUCAGUUCGAUUCUGAGGGGGACUAC